CGGCCCGAGAGGCGCUUGGAGGCGAAGCCCGGCCCCUCUGAUGACGCUGGCCAUGGCUGACUUCGCAGGGCAGCUUCCCGUGGGCCUCACGACCCGGCCUGCCCCCGCCUCCCGGAAGGCUACAGGUACUAAACAAACAAGUGGCUUGAGACAAGAUGCUUCUAAAAGGAAAGCAGAACUAGAAGCAUCUGUGAAAAAGAAGAUUGAGUGUGAAAGAAAAGCUCUACAUUUUGUUGAACAACUGUUAGAAGAGAAUAUCACAGAAGACUUCUUAAUGGAAUGUGGGAAGUUCAUCACCCCUGCUCACUAUAGUGAUGUUGUGGUUGAACGUUCAAUUAUCAAAUUCUGUGGCUAUCCUUUGUGUCAGAAAAAACUGGGCAUCGUACCAAAACAGAAAUAUAAAAUUUCUACCAAAACCAAUAAAGUUUAUGAUAUUACUGAAAGAAAGUCUUUUUGCAGCAGUUUUUGUUACAAAGCAUCUAAGUUUUUUGAAGCACAGAUUCCCAAAACUCCAGUAUGGGUUCGAGAAGAAGACAGACAACCUGAUUUUCAGCUGCUAACAGAAGGACAAAGUUGCCAUUCUGGAGAAGAAGUACAGUUACACAGUAAAGUCAUUAAAACAUCAGAUAUUGAUAAUCCUGCUCAUUUUGAAAAGCAAUAUGAAUCUAGUUCUUCUAGCACUUGUGGUGAUAGUAGCAGUGAUAAUGAACAAGACUUUGUUUCCUCCAUUCUACCGGGAAAGAGACCAAAUGCAACGGGUAUGGGGCCACAGCUGCACCAGAAAAGCAUAAUGAAGAAGAAAGCUGGUCAAAAAACCAACUCCACAGUCAAAGACAAAGAACAGAUAGUAGUAGCAGUCACUGAGCAGUUAGGCAGUUGCAAAUUAGGUAUUCAGGAGAAAGCUGCUGAUUGUGAACUUCCUUUUCAGAAAGUCAGUACUCAAAUUUCUUCAAAUACUCCUUCACAUGAAAGAUUAAAAGCUUCAGGAAAUUUUGAAAACAAAUACAAUAUGUCAGAUAUAACUCUUGUAGGCAUAAGUAAGAAAAGUGCUGAGCAUCUUAAAAAGAAAUUUGCCAAAUCAAACCAAGUUUCUAGUUCAGUGCAGGUCUGUCCUGAAGUUGCAAAGACGAACUUACUUAAAGUUCUGAGGGAGACUUUGAUUGAGUGGAAGACAGAAGAAACUCUGAGAGUUUUGUAUGGCCAAAAUUACGCUUCUGUAUGUCUGAAACCUUCUUCAGCCUGUCUAGUUAAUGAAGAACUUAAUGAAGAUGACAUAAACUCUGACUCAGAUGAUCAUUCCCUUGGCUUAAGGGGAUCUCAGAAUAGCCUGGAUGAGUUUUUAUCUUUUAGAGGCUCAGAUACAGCCACUAAGCCACUACCAAGUUAUGAGAACUUAAAAAAAGAAACUGAAACAUUAAAUCUGAGGAUCAGAGAAUUUUGUAGAGGACAGUAUGUUUUGAAUGAAGAAACUACCAUAUCACAAGACUCAGAAGAGAUCGAACUCGGGUCCUUGAGCUUUGCAGCAGGUGGCGAAACCACUGAGCAUGAUCCCACCUUUCCACUGAUAGAUUCAAGUUCCCAGGACCAGAUUAGAAAACACAUCGUACUCGAAAAAUUGAGUAAAGUAUUGCCUGGACUUUUGGGUCCUCUUCAGAUUACUUUAGGAGAUAUUUACACUCAACUUAAAAAUCUUGUCCGAACUUUCAGAUUAACAAAUAGAAAUAUUAUACACAGUCCUGUGGAGUGGACAUUAAUUGCUGUGGUGUUGCUGUCAUUGUGAACUGCUUUGCUCUACUGCAUGCUUCCUGCUAUGAUGUUCUGCUUCACAGUGGGCGCAGAAGCAACAAAGCCAGACUGACCCCAGUUCUUGGCAUUCAGAAGCAUUCUCCGAAAAAUGUGUUAUUUACACAGUUUAUAGCCACCUUGCUUGAAGAAUUACACUUAAAGAAUGAAGACCUUAAAAGUUUAACCAUCGUAUUUAGAAUUAGCUGUUAACCAGAGGGGUAUAAUUCAGGAAAAGAGAACAGAAGAUGAACUUCUCACCAUAUCUGGAAUUCUAGCCAUAGUCAUGGCCUAGUGGUGACUAAUAAUUAGCUUGGUUCCAAGAAAGAGCUUUACAUUCUCAAGUUUCAUUCCCUAUCACUCAGUGCUUACCUGCAGAGGAUAAUUUUCCCAAACAGAGGAGAACCAUUACCCCAAGAAAAAUAACCCAAGUCCUUGCAUCCUUGGCUAUAAGAGAUAGCAUUUUUAUUUGAAAAAAACUGAAGUCAUAAAUUGAAGCUGGAAUCAAUAUUCAAGAAAAUGUAAUAACCUGGUUUUUCUGAAUGAUACCAGUUAUCAAAGCAAUUGACAAAAAAAAUUACCAUUUGGCCUUCCAAUAUAAACUCUAAAGAACAGUAAAUAGGUCAAUAAAUGCAAUCUAAGAUGAAGUCCUUUAGAAAAGUCUAGACUUCUUUAAAGAAGCUAACUCUCCUGUAAAUGAUCCCAAGCAAGAUAAUUGACCUUACAAGUCCAAAAUGAGAAUCCUGGGAUGUUCUAGAAUCAAUUUUUUUUUUUUUUAAGGGGGAAGCAUUUUAGUUUGUUUAUAAGAGAGAAUCUCUAGAAUUUAGAUUGCUGCCUCCACAGCAGUCAAUGGGAGAUCUCAGACAGUUUGAGGAACUUUAGACACUGGGGAAAAUGACAGAUCCUAAUACCCAACAAUGCAAAUUCUGUUCUUAGCUUUGUGGCCAAGUCAUCUAAAUGGUUUUUUUUUUUCAGUUCUGGGAAAAGAACCCAGGGCUUUGUGCAAGCUAUGCAAGCACCCUCCCCUGAACUACAUCCUCAGCCCAAGUCACCUGAACUUUAUGGACUUCAUUUCAGUUGUCUGUAAAAUAAGGCAGGAGGCCAUACUGUCUCUAUUGAAAAGGACUGAAUGCUACUACCCUAUUGUUGGUCUGGGGCAUCUUUGAUUUUUUUUUUUUUUAAAUCUCAUCUGGAUAUAACCAUUAAAAUUAUAAUGUACUAGAACCAAUAAAGUUCAGCAGGGCCACAGAUUACAA